GACGAACGCUGGCGGCGUGCUUAACACAUGCAAGUCGAACGGAAAGGCCCUGCUUUUGUGGGGUGCUCGAGUGGCGAACGGGUGAGUAACACGUGAGUAACCUGCCCUUGACUUUGGGAUAACUUCAGGAAACUGGGGCUAAUACCGGAUAGGAGCUCCUGCUGCAUGGUGGGGGUUGGAAAGUUUCGGCGGUUGGGGAUGGACUCGCGGCUUAUCAGCUUGUUGGUGGGGUAGUGGCUUACCAAGGCUUUGACGGGUAGCCGGCCUGAGAGGGUGACCGGCGACAUUGGGACUGAGAUACGGCCCAGACUCCUACGGGAGGCAGCAGUGGGGAAUAUUGCACAAUGGGCGGAAGCCUGAUGCAGCAACGCCGCGUGCGGGAUGACGGCCUUCGGGUUGUAAACCGCUUUCGCCUGUGACGAAGCGUGAGUGACGGUAAUGGGUAAAGAAGCACCGGCUAACUGCGUG
rnacentral:rRNA from 1 species